rnacentral:rRNA from 1 species
UACGUAGGGCGCAAGCGUUGUCCGGAAUUAUUGGGCGUAAAGAGCUCGUAGGCGGUUUGUCGCGUCUGCUGUGAAAACCUAAGGCCUCAACCUCGGGCCUGCAGUGGGUACGGGCAGACUAGAGUGCGGUAGGGGAGAUUGGAAUUCCUGGUGUAGCGGUGGAAUGCGCAGAUAAUCAGGAGGAACACCAAUGGCGAAGGCAGAUCUCUGGGCCGUAACUGACGCUGAGGAGCGAAAGCAUGGGGAGCGAACAGGA